AGCAGUAGCCGCGGUAAUACGUAGGUGGCGAGCGUUGUCCGGAAUCAUUGGGCGUAAAGGGAGCGCAGGCGGGCAUGUAAGUCUUUCUUAAAAGUGCGGGGCUCAACCCCGUGAUGGGAAAGAAACUACAUGUCUUGAGUACAGGAGAGGAAAGCGGAAUUCCCAGUGUAGCGGUGAAAUGCGUAGAUAUUAGGAAGAACACCAGUGGCGGAGGCGACUUUCUGGACGAAAACUGACGCUGAGGCGCGAAAGCCAGGGGAGCGAACGGGAUUAGAUACCCCCGUAGUCCCUGUCUCUUAUACA
rnacentral:rRNA from 1 species